GCCUCGAUAGCUCAGUUGGGAGAGCGUUAGACUGAAGAUCUAAAGGUCACCAGUUCGAUCCUGGAUAAAGGUC
rnacentral:tRNA from 1 species